CCACCUGUUGCGCCGCCUGCCCACCCGGCGUCCACUGCCACUGCCACUGCCAUGGGAGUGCAGGCGGAGACCAUCUCCCCCGGAGAGGGGCGCACCUUCCCAAAGCGCGGCCAGACCUGCGUGGUGCGCUACACGGGGAUGCCUAAAGAUGGAAAGAAGCUGGAUUCCUCCUGGGACAGAAACAAGCCCUUUAAGUUUGUUCUGGGCAAGCAGGAAGUGAUCCGAGGCUGGGAAGAAGGGGCUGCCCAGAUGAGCGUGGGUCAGAGAGCCAAGCUAUCUCCCCAGACUAUGCCUACGGUGCCACUGGGCACCCAGGCAUCAUCCCACCUAAUGCCACUCUCAUCUUUGACGUGGAGCUUCUAAAACUGGAAUGUCAGGAAUGGACUCCUCCCUGA